UUCGGAUUGUAGUCUGCAACUCGACUACAUGAAGCUGGAAUCGCUAGUAAUCGCAAAUCAGAAUGUUGCGGUGAAUACGUUCCCGGGUCUUGUACACACCGCCCGUCACACCAUGGAGUCGGAAAUGCCCGAAGUCUGUGACCCAACGAAAGAGGGAGCAGCCGAAGGCAGGUCUGAUAACUGGGGUGAAGUCGUAACAAGGUACC
rnacentral:rRNA from 1 species